rnacentral:rRNA from 1 species
GACGAACGCUGGCGGCGUGCUUAACACAUGCAAGUCGAACGGAGUAGCGAACGGGUGAGUAACACGGGGGUGACCUGCCCUGCACUUCGGGAUAAACCUGGGGAACUGGGUCUAAUACCGGAUAGUGUGGGAGUGGGGCGGGGCCUGUCUGCUUGUUGGUGGGGUACGGGCCUACCCAGGCGACGACGGGUAGCCGGCCUGGGCGGGUGGACGGCCACAGCGGGACUGGGACACGGCCCAGACUCCUACGGGAGGCAGCGGUGGCGAUGAGUGCACAAUGGGCGGAAGCCUGAUGCAGCGACGCCGCGUGGGGGAUGACGGCCUUCGGGUUGUAAUCUCCUUUCACCAUCGACGCGGUAGCUGGCGAAGAAGCACCGGCUAACUACGUGCCAGCAGCCGCGGUAAUUC